AUUGAACGCUGGCGGCAGGCCUAACACAUGCAAGUCGAGCGAGCGGCGGACGGGUGAGUAAUGUCUGUGAAACUGCCUGUUGGAGGGGGAUAACUACUGGAAACGGUAGCUCAUACCGCAUCCCAUCAGAUGUGCCCCGAUGGGACUAGCUAGUAGGUGGGGUAACGGCUCACCUAGGCGACGAUCCCUAGCUGGUCUGAGAGGAUGACCAGCCACACUGGAACUGAGACACGGUCCAGACUCCUACGGGAGGCAGCAGUGGGGAAUAUUGCACAAUGGGCGCAAGCCUGAUGCAGCCAUGCCGCGUGUGUGAAGAAGGCCUUCGGGUUGUAAAGCACUUUAAGCGGGGAGGCGUUACCCGCAGAAGAAGCACCGGCUAACUACGUGCCAGCAGCCGCGGUAAUUC
rnacentral:rRNA from 1 species